rnacentral:rRNA from 1 species
CAAAUGACUCUCGGCAACGGAUAUCUCGGCUCACGCAUCGAUGAAGAACGUAGCAAAAUGCGAUACUUGGUGUGAAUUGCAGAAUCCCGUGAACCAUCGAGUUUUUGAACGCAAGUUGCGCCCAAAGCCAUUUGGUUGAGGGCACGUCUGCAUGGGCGUCACGC